rnacentral:lncRNA from 1 species
UAGCAAGCAAGUCCCUGCUCCAUUUGAUGUGGGGGUAAGGUUGGUGUUUAUCUUCCAUAGUCGUGGGAUCAGCAGCUCUCAGAGGCCAGAAGCACAGAGGGCAGGUUAUAUAUAUUAACAACCCAGACACAGUAGCAAGGUUGAAAAAUUUGCUGACUCAGCCAAGCUCCCAGGGUUGGAGGAGAUGAAGCAAAGGCAAAAUUCUGAGAACUCUUCCUGGAAUAACUAGAGCUUCCAGGAUCACAGACAAGGGAAAGUCACUGUCUGGAGAAAACUCACUAUGGUCACAUGAGAGCUGCAAUCAUACCUGGAAAGAAACCUUAAUGCAUGUGAGUAUCAUGCCUGGGAUCCAAGAAUUGGAGAGGAGGGGAAAUUAGCUAUUUGUGAGUCCUCUAAUAAAU